rnacentral:rRNA from 1 species
AUGGAUGCCCGCGAUCUGCAGACCAUGAUCCUCAAGACGGCGGUGCCCCUGAUGGCCAUGGUGCUGCUGGUCACGGCGUCGACUGUCUCCAUGGCGCCAUACGACUGUGCCUGCGCCUACCUUCGCGCGUGCUUCGGCAGCAACUACUUCCUGAUGAUCGGCGAGCUCUGCCAGAUCAACCUGGCCCGUCUUCUGGCGAAGGAGGCCGUUCUGGCGCCGACGCUGGCGGCCCGGCGCUACUACGCGGUGGGCGCCGUCGCGUGCUUCAUGGAGCUCGUGCUCAAGCUCUACAUGAUCCUGGUGCUGUGCCCCUAG